GCGGCGGUGGUCUAGUGGUCAAGACGCUGCAUCAAUGUGUCUUGCAAACACAAGCGCUUGCCAUCCGAUGUACUGCUUCAGAGUUGGGUGGUAGAAGAUACAGAGAACGUGGGUUCGAAUCCUACUCGCCGCG
rnacentral:tRNA from 1 species